rnacentral:rRNA from 1 species
UGAAUACGAGACGCUAAGGCGUCGAAGUAGUGUAUGUCAUACUUCCAAGAAAAGCUUGCACUGUCAUAGAUAAAAAACGCCUGUACCAUAACCGACACAGGUGGGUAGGUAGAGUAUACUAAGGGGCGCGAGAUAACUCUCUCUAAGGAACUCGGCAAAAUAACUCCGUAACUUCGGGAGAGGGAGUGCCUUAUUCGUAAGGUUGCAAUAACAAGAUCCAAGCAACUGUUUAUCAAAAACACAGGUCUCCGCUAAGUCGUAAGACGAUGUAUGGGGGCUGACGCCUGCCCAGUGCCAGAAGGUUAAAGAAGUUGGUUAGCAAUUGCGAAGCUGAUAACUGAAGCCCUGGUGAACGGCGGCCGUAACAAUAACGGUCCUAAGGUAGCGAAAUUCCUUGUCGGGUAAGUUCCGACCCGCACGAAAGGCGUAAUGAUUUGGAUACUGUCUCGGAGAGGGGCUCGGUGAAAUAGACUUGUCUGUGAAGAUGCGGACUACCUGCACCAGGACAGAAAGACCCUAUGAAGCUUUACUGUAACUUGAAAUUGAAAUUGGACUUUAUUCGCGCAGUAUAGGUGGGAGGCGUUGAUUAUAAUCUUGUGGGAUUAUUGGAGCCAUCAGUGAGAUACCACUCUUGUAAUGUUAGAUUUCUAACUUUGAAUCAUUAUCUGGUCAAAGAACAGUUUCAGGCGGGCAGUUUGACUGGGGCGGUCGCCUCCUAAACGGUAACGGAGGCGUACAAAGGUUUCCUCUGAACGGUUAGAAAUCGUAUCUAGAGUGUAAAGGCAUAAGGAAGCUUGACUGUGAGACCUACAAGUCGAGCAGGGACGAAAGUCGGUCUUAGUGAUCUGACGGUACUGAGUGGAAAGGCCGUCACUCAACGGAUAAAAGUUACUCUAAGGAUAACAGGCUGAUCUCCCCCAAGAGUUCACAUCGACGGGGAGGUUUGGCACCUCGAUGUCGGCUCAUCGCAUCCUGGGGCGGUAGUACGUCCCAAGGGUUGGGCUGUUCGCCCAUGAAAGCGGUACGCGAGCUGGGUUCAGAACGUCGUGAGACAGUUCGGUCCUUAUCCGGUGUAGGCGUUAGAAUAUUGAGAGGAGCCUUCUUUAGUACGAGAGGACCGAGAAGGACAUACCUCUGGUGUACCAGUUAUCGUGCCAACGGUAAACGCUGGGUAGCUAUGUAUGGAGUGGAUAACCGCUGAAAGCAUCUAAGUGGGAAGCCCACCUCAAGAUAAG